rnacentral:lncRNA from 1 species
ACUGGUCUAUUGACCAAAUUUUCUAUGAGUGCUCUUGGCAAUUUCUCUAACGGUAUAUACUUCUGAAAUAUUUGAUGUCCAUCAGCUUCUGGGUAUAGUUGGAUAUGCCAACAAGCAUGCAACCAUGGUUUAAUCCAACUUUGUCGAUGAGUCCUUUUUAACUUUUGUUCUUGCUCGUUAUGUAAUAAAUUUUUUGCUUGCGAUCUCUCUAUUCUUUCUUUCGACUACCAUAUUUUCUUUACUAUUAAAUUCUCAUUCUUAAUAACUAUACUCUUUCAUUAUAUUCUACUAAAUUUGCUUCCUAUCUCCCAUCUAACUAAAUUGACAAUUAAUUUCUAACACUCAAUGCUAUUGUCUAUACCCAGCAAUCGUGCCAAAAUGUGAUUGUCGUUUUACUUAUCCUACAAUUCUUUUUAGAAUAAACCUAUAUAGGAGAAUUCAAACACAUGGAAAGACUAAGUGCAUGACUUUUACUCGUUAGGAUCACACAAUUAAUCGUAUUCUGAACAACUAAAACACCAAGAAACAUUACAAUGCUUUCUUCUAAUAACAAUACUCCUUCAUCAAUUGAUAAUAAUAAUGUGCAACCAUGCACUCUCAAAAGACCACUCAAAACA